rnacentral:rRNA from 1 species
UUAAGCGACUAAGCGUACACGGUGGAUGCCCUGGCAGUCAGAGGCGAUGAAGGACGUGCUAAUCUGCGAUAAGCGUCGGUGAGGUGAUAUGAACCGUUAUAACCGGCGAUUUCCGAAUGGGGAAACCCAGUGUGUUUCGACACACUAUCAUUAACUGAAUCCAUAGGUUAAUGAGGCGAACCGGGGGAACUGAAACAUCUAAGUACCCCGAGGAAAAGAAAUCAACCGAGAUUCCCCCAGUAGCGGCGAGCGAACGGGGAGGAGCCCAGAGCCUGAAUCAGUGUGUGUGUUAGUGGAAGCGUCUGGAAAGGCGUGCGAUACAGGGUGACAGCCCCGUACACAAAAAUGCACAUGCUGUGAGCUCGAUGAGUAGGGCGGGACACGUGGUAUCCUGUCUGAAUAUGGGGGGACCAUCCUCCAAGGCUAAAUACUCCUGACUGACCGAUAGUGAACCAGUACCGUGAGGGAAAGGCGAAAAGAACCCCGGCGAGGGGAGUGAAAAAGAACCUGAAACCGUGUACGUACAAGCAGUGGGAGCCUCUUUAUGGGGUGACUGCGUACCUUUUGUAUAAUGGGUCAGCGACUUAUAUUCUGUAGCAAGGUUAACCGAAUAGGGGAGCCGAAGGGAAACCGAGUCUUAACUGGGCGUUAAGUUGCAGGGUAUAGACCCGAAACCCGGUGAUCUAGCCAUGGGCAGGUUGAAGGUUGGGUAACACUAACUGGAGGACCGAACCGACUAAUGUUGAAAAAUUAGCGGAUGACUUGUGGCUGGGGGUGAAAGGCCAAUCAAACCGGGAGAUAGCUGGUUCUCCCCGAAAGCUAUUUAGGUAGCGCCUCGUGAAUUCAUCUCCGGGGGUAGAGCACUGUUUCGGCAAGGGGGUCAUCCCGACUUACCAACCCGAUGCAAACUGCGAAUACCGGAGAAUGUUAUCACGGGAGACACACGGCGGGUGCUAACGUCCGUCGUGAAGAGGGAAACAACCCAGACCGCCAGCUAAGGUCCCAAAGUCAUGGUUAAGUGGGAAACGAUGUGGGAAGGCCCAGACAGCCAGGAUGUUGGCUUAGAAGCAGCCAUCAUUUAAAGAAAGCGUAAUAGCUCACUGGUCGAGUCGGCCUGCGCGGAAGAUGUAACGGGGCUAAACCAUGCACCGAAGCUGCGGCAGCGACGCUUAUGCGUUGUUGGGUAGGGGAGCGUUCUGUAAGCCUGUGAAGGUGUGCUGUGAGGCAUGCUGGAAGUAUCAGAAGUGCGAAUGCUGACAUAAGUAACGAUAAAGCGGGUGAAAAGCCCGCUCGCCGGAAGACCAAGGGUUCCUGUCCAACGUUAAUCGGGGCAGGGUGAGUCGACCCCUAAGGCGAGGCCGAAAGGCGUAGUCGAUGGGAAACAGGUUAAUAUUCCUGUACUUGGUGUUACUGCGAAGGGGGGACGGAGAAGGCUAUGUUGGCCGGGCGACGGUUGUCCCGGUUUAAGCGUGUAGGCUGAUUUUCCAGGCAAAUCCGGAAAAUCAAGGCUGAGGCGUGAUGACGAGGCACUACGGUGCUGAAGCAACAAAUGCCCUGCUUCCAGGAAAAGCCUCUAAGCAUCAGGUAACAUCAAAUCGUACCCCAAACCGACACAGGUGGUCAGGUAGAGAAUACCAAGGCGCUUGAGAGAACUCGGGUGAAGGAACUAGGCAAAAUGGUGCCGUAACUUCGGGAGAAGGCACGCUGAUAUGUAGGUGAAGUCCCUCGCGGAUGGAGCUGAAAUCAGUCGAAGAUACCAGCUGGCUGCAACUGUUUAUUAAAAACACAGCACUGUGCAAACACGAAAGUGGACGUAUACGGUGUGACGCCUGCCCGGUGCCGGAAGGUUAAUUGAUGGGGUUAGCGGCAACGCGAAGCUCUUGAUCGAAGCCCCGGUAAACGGCGGCCGUAACUAUAACGGUCCUAAGGUAGCGAAAUUCCUUGUCGGGUAAGUUCCGACCUGCACGAAUGGCGUAAUGAUGGCCAGGCUGUCUCCACCCGAGACUCAGUGAAAUUGAACUCGCUGUGAAGAUGCAGUGUACCCGCGGCAAGACGGAAAGACCCCGUGAACCUUUACUAUAGCUUGACACUGAACAUUGAGCCUUGAUGUGUAGGAUAGGUGGGAGGCUUUGAAGUGUGGACGCCAGUCUGCAUGGAGCCGACCUUGAAAUACCACCCUUUAAUGUUUGAUGUUCUAACGUGGGCCCCUAAUCGGGGUUGCGGACAGUGUCUGGUGGGUAGUUUGACUGGGGCGGUCUCCUCCUAAAGAGUAACGGAGGAGCACGAAGGUUGGCUAAUCCUGGUCGGACAUCAGGAGGUUAGUGCAAUGGCAUAAGCCAGCUUGACUGCGAGCGUGACGGCGCGAGCAGGUGCGAAAGCAGGUCAUAGUGAUCCGGUGGUUCUGAAUGGAAGGGCCAUCGCUCAACGGAUAAAAGGUACUCCGGGGAUAACAGGCUGAUACCGCCCAAGAGUUCAUAUCGACGGCGGUGUUUGGCACCUCGAUGUCGGCUCAUCACAUCCUGGGGCUGAAGUAGGUCCCAAGGGUAUGGCUGUUCGCCAUUUAAAGUGGUACGCGAGCUGGGUUUAGAACGUCGUGAGACAGUUCGGUCCCUAUCUGCCGUGGGCGCUGGAGAACUGAGGGGGGCUGCUCCUAGUACGAGAGGACCGGAGUGGACGCAUCACUGGUGUUCGGGUUGUCAUGCCAAUGGCACUGCCCGGUAGCUAAAUGCGGAAGAGAUAAGUGCUGAAAGCAUCUAAGCACGAAACUUGCCCCGAGAUGAGUUCUCCCUGACUCCUUGAGAGUCCUGAAGGAACGUUGAAGACGACGACGUUGAUAGGCCGGGUGUGUAAGCGCAGCGAUGCGUUGAGCUAACCGGUACUAAUGAACCGUGAGGCUUAACCUU